GUGCCAGCAGCCGCGGUAAUUCCAGCUCCAAUAGCGUAUAUUAAAGUUGUUGUGGUUAAAAAGCUCGUAGUUGAACCCUGGGCCUGGCUGGCCGGUCCGCCUCACCGCGUGCACUGGUCCGGCCGGGCCUUUCCCUCUGUGGAACCCCAUACCCUUCACUGGGCGUGGCGGGGAAACAGGACAUUUACUUUGAAAAAAUUAGAGUGCUCCAGGCAGGCCUAUGCUCGAAUACAUUAGCAUGGAAUAAUAAAAUAGGACGCGCGGUUCUAUUUUGUUGGUUUAUAGGACCGCCGUAAUGAUUAAUAGGGACAGUCGGGGGCAUCAGUAUUCAACUGCCAGAGGUGAAAUUCUUGGAUCAGUUGAAGACUAACUACUGCGAAAGCAUUUGCCAAGGAUGUUUUCAUUAAUCAGGAACGAAAGUUAGGGGAUCGAAGACGAUCAGAUACCGUCGUAGUCUUAACCAUAAACUAUGCCGACUAGGGAUCGGACGGUGUUAUUCAUGACCCGUUCGGCACCUUACGAGAAAUCAAAGUGCUUGGGCUCCAGGGGGAGUAUGGUCGCAAGGCUGAAACUUAAAGAAAUUGACGGAAGGGCACCACCAGGGGUGGAGCCUGCGGCUUUAAUUUGACUCAACACGGGGAAACUCAUCCAGGUCUCAGACACAAUAAGGACUGACAGAUUGAGAGCUCUUUCUUGAUUUUGUGGGUGGUGGUGCAUGACCGUUCUUAGUUGGUGGGGUGACUUGUCUGCUUAAUUGCGAUACGGACGAGACCUUAACCUGCUAAAUAAGCCCGCAUUGCUCCGCAGGUGCGCUGGCUUCUUAGAGGGACUUUCGGCUCAAGCCGAAGGAAGUUUGAGGGC
rnacentral:rRNA from 1 species